rnacentral:sRNA from 1 species
UUUUUUUUUGAAUACCAGGAGGUUCUGAGCCAAACCCCGUAAUCCCCCCAGCCCUGAAACCACAACAUGUAAUAUUAGUUUCGUCCCAAGCGUCACUCGAACUGGCGACCUCUAAGCUUCGCAUAGGGUCUUUACCAAUUGAGCUAACGUCACUUGGUUAUCAAAA